rnacentral:rRNA from 1 species
AGCGAACGCUGGCGGCAGGCCUAACACAUGCAAGUCGAACGAACCUUUCGGGGUUAGUGGCGGACGGGUGAGUAACACGUGGGAACGUGCCUUUAGGUUCGGAAUAACUCAGGGAAACUUGUGCUAAUACCGAAUGUGCCCUUCGGGGGAAAGAUUUAUCGCCUUUAGAGCGGCCCGCGUCUGAUUAGCUAGUUGGUUGAGGUAAUGGCUCACCAAGGCGACGAUCAGUAGCUGGUCUGAGAGGAUGAUCAGCCACAUUGGGACUGAGACACGGCCCAAACUCCUACGGGGGGCAGCAGUGGGGAAUCUUGGGCAAUGGGCAAAAGCCUGACGCAGCCAUGCCGGGUGAAGGAUGAAGGUUUUAGGAUUGUAAAAUUCUUUCACCGGGGACGAUAAUGGCGGUACCCGGAGAAGGAGCCCCGGCUAACUUCGU